rnacentral:rRNA from 1 species
UACGAAGGGGGCUAGCGUUGCUCGGAAUUACUGGGCGUAAAGGGCUCGUAGGCGGCCGAUCAAGUCAGAUGUGAAAGUCCUGGGCUUAACCUGGGGACUGCAUUUGAUACUGAUUGGCUUGAAUGCAGGAGAGGAUAGCGGAAUUCCCAGUGUAGAGGUGAAAUUCGUAGAUAUUGGGAAGAACACCGGUGGCGAAGGCGGCUAUCUGGACUGUGAUUGACGCUGAGGCGCGAAAGCGUGGGGAGCAAACGGG